GAUUUUAUUAAUGUAAUUUGUGGUAAUUAUAAUAUAUUUGGCUAAUAUUAUGAGUGAUGGUUAUAAAAUUUUUAUAGUUUAAUAGUACUUUUUAGGAAUUAAGUGUGUUUAUAUAAAAUAUUAGGUUUUUUAUUACCUUUUGUAUUAGGGUUUUUCAAUGUGAGUUUUUAUUAAAUUUUUCUCGAUGAAUAUCGGGCUAUUUUACUAGGUGUUAUUUUUGUUGAAUAAAAUUAAUUAUAGUUUAAUAGUUAUGAAAUAUUAUUCAAGUUAUUUUUUAUCUAGUUUUCUGAGAAAUAUAAUUGUAGAUAUUUAUAUUAUUAAGAUAUGUUGGGAUUAGCUUACUUAUCGUUUAUAUAUUUUAGAGUUAGAUUUUAUUGGUGGAGUUAAAAGUUCUUAGUUUGAGGAUGUUAUUAUUUAUUGAGUUUAUAUUUAUGAUUUUUUAGUUUUAUGUUGAAAUUUGGGAUAUUAAUUUAAUAUAUAAAUUUAAUGUUAUAAUGAUAGAAUUAGUAAUAUAUAGUGUUUAUAAGUUUAGAAAUUAAAUUGUAUUUAGUUGAUAGGAAAAGAGUUUAUUAAUAUUGAAGAAUUAGGCAAUAUUAGCUUUUGACUGUUUAGCAAAAACAUUGUUUUUUGUUGGGGUAAAAAAUAAGGUCUGUCCACUGCUAGAUAGUGAAGGGCUGCAGUAUUUUGACUGUAUGAAGGUAGCAUAAUCAUUAGCUUUUUAAUUGAAAGCUGGUAUGAAGGUGAAACAGGGGCUUACUAUUUUAAUAAUAAUUAAUGAAUUUUAUUUUUAUGUGAAAAAUCAUAAUUAAAUUAAAGGGACAAGAAGACCCUAAUAAGUUUUAUUUUCUAUUAUGUUGGGUAUAUAGUUUAUUAAAUUGGUAUGAUUUAUAUUUGGGAAUUUGACUGGGGCGGUAUGUAAUAAAACAUUAUUUAAUUUUUAAUUUUUGAUAGCGUUAUGUUAGACCUGAUUUGGUCAGUUGAAUGUUAAAUUACUGUAGGGAUAACAGCGUAAUUUUUUUUAAGAGUUCUUAUUGACGGAAAA
rnacentral:rRNA from 1 species